rnacentral:rRNA from 1 species
GACGAACGCUGGCGGCGGGCUUAACACAUGCAAGUCGAACGGAAAGGCCCUGCUUUUGUGGGGUUCUCGAGUGGCGAACGGGUGCGUAACACGUGAGUAACCUGCCCUUGACUUUGGGAUAACUUCAGGAAACUGGGGCUAAUACCGGAUAGGAGCUCCUGCUGCAUGGUGGGGGUUGGAAAGUUUAGGCGGGUGGGGAUGGACUGGCGGCUUAUCAGCUUGUUGGUGGGGUAGUGGCUUACCAAGGCUUUGACGGGUAGCCCGCCUGAGAGGGUGACCGGCCACAUUGGGACUGAGAUACGGACCAGACUCGUACGGGAGGCAGCAGUGGGGAGUAUUGCACAAUGGGCGGAAGCCUGAUGCAGCAACGCCGCGUGCGGGAUGACGGCCUUCGGGUUGUAAAACGCUUUCGCCUGUGACGAAGCGUGAGUGACGGUAAUGGAUAAAGAAGCACCGGCUAACUACGUG